UGGAGCUGAAAUCAGUCGAAGAUACCAGCUGGCUGCAACUGUUUAUUAAAAACACAGCACUGUGCAAACACGAAAGUGGACGUAUACGGUGUGACGCCUGCCCGGUGCCGGAAGGUUAAUUGAUGGGGUUAUCCGUAAGGAGAAGCUCUUGAUCGAAGCCCCGGUAAACGGCGGCCGUAACUAUAACGGUCCUAAGGUAGCGAAAUUCCUUGUCGGGUAAGUUCCGACCUGCACGAAUGGCGUAAUGAUGGCCAGGCUGUCUCCACCCGAGACUCAGUGAAAUUGAACUCGCUGUGAAGAUGCAGUGUACCCGCGGCAAGACGGAAAGACCCCGUGAACCUUUACUAUAGCUUGACACUGAACACUGGUCCUUGAUGUGUAGGAUAGGUGGGAGGCUUUGAAGUGUGGACGCCAGUCUGCAUGGAGCCAUCCUUGAAAUACCACCCUUUAAUGGCUGGUGUUCUAACGUGGACCCGUGAUCCGGGUUGCGGACAGUGUCUGGUGGGUAGUUUGACUGGGGCGGUCUCCUCCUAAAGAGUAACGGAGGAGCACGAAGGUUAGCUAAUCCUGGUCGGACAUCAGGAGGUUAGUGCAAAGGCAUAAGCUAGCUUGACUGCGAGAGUGACGGCUCGAGCAGGUGCGAAAGCAGGUCUUAGUGAUCCGGUGGUUCUGAAUGGAAGGGCCAUCGCUCAACGGAUAAAAGGUACUCCGGGGAUAACAGGCUGAUACCGCCCAAGAGUUCAUAUCGACGGCGGUGUUUGGCACCUCGAUGUCGGCUCAUCACAUCCUGGGGCUGAAGUAGGUCCCAAGGGUAUGGCUGUUCGCCAUUUAAAGUGGUACGCGAGCUGGGUUUAGAACGUCGUGAGACAGUUCGGUCCCUAUCUGCCGUGGGCGCUGGAGAAUUGAAGGGGGGCUGCUCCUAGUACGAGAGGACCGGAGUGGACGCAUCACUGGUGUUCGGGUUGUCAUGCCAAUGGCAUUGCCCGGUAGCUAAAUGCGGAAGAGAUAAGUGCUGAAAGCAUCUAAGCACGAAACUUGCCCCGAGAUGAGUUCUCCCUGAGACUAUAAGUCUCCUGAAGGAACGUUGAAGACGACGACGUUGAUAGGUCGGGUGUGUAAGUGUAGCG
rnacentral:rRNA from 1 species